rnacentral:rRNA from 1 species
UACGUAGGGUGCGAGCGUUGUCCGGAAUUAUUGGGCGUAAAGAGCUCGUAGGCGGCUUGUCGCGUCGGUUGUGAAAGCCCGGGGCUUAACUCCGGGUCUGCAGUCGAUACGGGCAGGCUAGAGUGUGGUAGGGGAGAUCGGAAUUCCUGGUGUAGCGGUGAAAUGCGCAGAUAUCAGGAAGAACACCCGUGGCGAAGGCGGCUCUCUGGUACGUGACUGACGCUGAGACGCGAAAGCGUGGGGAGCGAACAGG